UAGGGAAUCUUCGGCAAUGGGGGGAACCCUGACCGAGCAACGCCGCGUGAGUGAAGGAGGUUUUCGGAUCGUAAAGCUCUGUUGUUAAGGAAGAACGAGUGUGAGAAUGGAAAGUUCAUGCUGUGACGGUACUUAACCAGAAAGGGACGGCUAACUACGUGCCAGCAGCCGCGGUAAUACGUAGGUCCCGAGCGUUGUCCGGAUUUAUUGGGCGUAAAGCGAGCGCAGGCGGUUAGAAAAGUCUGAAGUGAAAGGCAGUGGCUCAACCAUUGUAGGCUUUGGAAACUGUUUAACUUGAGUGCAGAAGGGGAGGGUGGAAUUCCAUGUGUAGCGGUGAAAUGCGUAGAUAUAUGGAGGAACACCGGUGGCGAAAGCGGCUCUCUGGUCUGUAACUGACGCUGAGGCUCGAAAGCGUGGGGAGCGAACAGG
rnacentral:rRNA from 1 species